GCGACCGUAUAUUGGUAGGAGUAUCGCUGCUUGCCGCUCAUGUCUUCGUACACUGUUGGGACUAUCUUCAGUAUGUAGUCAUGAGAGGCUAGAGGAUUUGAGCUGAGUUUGUCUGCUCCCUCCAAGGCGUUGAAUGCUCCAUGAACAUUCUGGACCUGUAACUUGUCCCCAAAUGAGAGCUUGUGGAUGAUGUGAGUCAUGUCAGGAUUCUGAGGCUGCGCAGUGGCACUGUGCGUUGACACGUGAAAGUUACCAGGGACCUUAUUGAUGCUGAAAUGUCCCUCGAAUCUACAGCCAUCUCCAUUAUUGAGAGGUAUCUUCAUUGAGUUGUCUAUGUGACCCACUUCAUGCCUUCCCAUUUCAUCCUGGAUGUCUAGUCCAACUAAUUCACAAUGCAGAUUUGGUAAACUGAUGUUUAGAUUCACUUCUAUUUUACCUCCACUGUCUUUGUCUGGGUCAUCCACGUACAGCUCAUUAACUAUUUCAGUGGCUAUGAAUCCGGUGAGCUCAGACAGGAAGAGAAACAGUAUGAAGAGACAGCAGCAGACAGAGAUAAUAGCCCCUGUGUAGGUUGGCUGUGUAAGGUCUUUUGGCACCUUCCUGUAGAUGUCAAACCUCCUGAAGUCAAAGGGCAUGGUGCUGGUUGUGGCGGGCGCCGGGCAGGCUGAGGGCCCCGCCGCCCCCGGGCCCGGCUCUCGCCUCGCUGCCGCCGGCUGCAGGGCCA
rnacentral:lncRNA from 1 species